rnacentral:rRNA from 1 species
UGGGGAAUAUUGCACAAUGGGCGCAAGCCUGAUGCAGCCAUGCCGCGUGUGUGAAGAAGGCCUUCGGGUUGUAAAGCACUUUCAGCGAGGAGGAAGGUGGUGAACUUAAUACGUUCAUCAAUUGACGUUACUCGCAGAAGAAGCACCGGCUAACUCCGUGCCAGCAGCCGCGGUAAUACGGAGGGUGCAAGCGUUAAUCGGAAUUACUGGGCGUAAAGCGCACGCAGGCGGUUUGUUAAGUCAGAUGUGAAAUCCCCGGGCUCAACCUGGGAACUGCAUUUGAAACUGGCAAGCUAGAGUCUCGUAGAGGGGGGCUAGAAUUCCAGGUGUAGCGGUGAAAUGCGUAGAGAUCUGGAGGAAUACCGGUGGCGAAGGCGGCCCCCUGGACGAAGACUGACGCUCAGGUGCGAAAAGGCGUGGGGAGCAAAACAGGAUUAGAUACCCUGGUAGUCCACGCUGUAAACGAUGUCGAUUUUGGAGGUUGUGCCCCUUGAGGCGUGGCUUCCGGAGCUAACGCGUUAAAUCGACCGCC